AAGAAAUGAGUCAUUGUAGCCUCAAUAAGAAAUUAAUCAUGAAUAAUCUUACAACAAGCGUGAACACUCCAACUCUUCAGCCUACCAUUUAUCAUAAGAUAAAUAACUAAUAUGUGAGUGUUAAGAUCACCUAAAGCCCAAUUCAAUCUAGUUUUCUUCUCUCCCUCUCCAACUCAUCCCCAAACAUUAUUUUUUUUCCCUCUUAUUUAUUCCUGCACUUAUUUCCUUCCUAUACUGUGACGUUCAUACAUCACGUUAGUUCAUAUUUAAAAAUAAAAACUCUCUUUGGAAUAUAAGAUGGCAAUGCUAAGGCAGGUCAAUCUAGUAGAAAUAGCAAAGAUCCUGCUUAUAUAAUUUCCUAAAGAAUCGUGAAGAUGCAAAUUGAAGUUCAUCUGUUACAUGAAU
rnacentral:misc_RNA from 1 species